GUCUUUUUGUUAAAAAUUUAAAGUCUAACCUGCCCAAUGAAAAUUUAAAUGGCCGCAGUAUUUUGACUGUGCAAAGGUAGCAUAAUCAUUAGUUUCUUAAUUAGAAACUGGAAUGAAAGGUUGAACGAAAAAAUAACUGUCUCUUUGUAAAUUUUUUAGAAUUUUAUUUUUGAGUAAAAAAGCUUAAAUUUAUUUAAAAGACGAGAAGACCCUAUAGAGUUUUAUAUAAAGUUUGUUAUAUAUAAAAGUUGAAUUAUUUAUUAUAAAGAAAAUAUUAUAUUUAGUUGGGGUGAUUGAAAAAUUUGAUGAACUUUUUAAAUAAAUUUAUUCAUAAAUUUAUGUAUUUUUGAUCCAUAGUUUGUGAUUAUAAGAUUAAAUUACCUUAGGGAUAACAGCGUAAUUUUUUUUUAGAGUUCUUAUCGAUAAAAAAGUUUGCGACCUCGAUGUUGGAUUAAAAUAUAAGUUUGGUGUAGAAGCUAAAUUAUUAGGUCUGUUCGACCUUUAAAAUUUUACAUGAUCUGAGUUUAAACCGGUGUAAGCCAGGUUGGUUUCUAUCUUUAAAUAAAUUGAAUAUUUUAGUACGAAAGGACCAAGUAUUUAUAAUAAUUAUUUUAUAUGAAUUUUAUUAAUAUAAGU
rnacentral:rRNA from 1 species